GAGUUGGGGAGAAGAAGCAGAGCCAGAGAAAAAAACACUGAAAGAGCGCUGGGAGAGGUAGGAGGAGCACCAGGAGAGAGCAGUAUCUUGUAGACCGAUAUUGCGGAGGAUGAGAAGAAGUUGUUGAUGAUCAACAGUGUCAAAAGCCGCAGACAGGUCAAGGAGAAAUAGGAUAGAGUAGUGACCACGAGAUUUUGCAGCGAGUAGAUCAUUGGAUACUUUGGUCAGUGCCGUUUCCA